AGUUGUUUGUUUUAUUUCAAGGCCCCAGUGGGCCCAGCCCUUCCUGCCCAGCAGCUGCAGCAGGCUCCAUUCCUGCUCAGUGCCUGGCCUGGGAAGAGCUUGCUUGCUGGCCCAUGAGAGUGGUUCUCCGUAACUGGCUUGUGGGGAAUGCUGUGUGAGAGGAUCUGUUUGGGCUAUUGCUGGGCUCCAUACAGAAUGCAGGCAUGAUCUGGAAUGUUGAUCGAGUCUAAGGAUAAAGCAACAAAGAAAAUGGCCACCAGUUUAAAUGCCAUAAUUCAAAUAAUUGUGAAUGAAAUGCCCUAUGUCUAAGACUUUCUGCCAUGAUCAUCGGAGGAAUGAAUGAGACCUCUUAACGCAGCCCUGCUCUUUUGUUUAGGUUACCAUUUUAUGAUCUUUUUACUUGUGGAAACAAGGGCAAGCUCAUCCCAUUCACGGAAUCACAUGGGUGAUUUCUUGCUUGGAAAGCACUUGAGUAGUGCAAGGAUGGCAUGACAGAAAAGUCAUCAGACAUUCAUAAUCCUAUCUUCAUAGCAAGUCUUGAGUAUAGGUCAGCAAAUAAGAUCUGGUCAGCAGUCAGAAUAGAAAAAAAAAGGAAAGUUGAACAUUCAUGUGUGUAAUAAUUAGCAUCUAGUCUGUCCCCUGAAUGAGGAAAUGGCUUUAGGAAAAAAUAGUCAUGUCAUCCAUAGUCCUGCAUGCACUGUGUAUGCCGAGGGGCCUGAAAUGCAAUUGUCUGGGAAAUCUUGGAAGGUUGUAAGUUUUGAGUGAUUGACUUUGUAUCUGUAAUGUUCUUUUAAUAUGAUUUUUGGCAUAUAAUUUGCUACUUGGUAUUAUCUGUAGCUCAAGCAGUAGAAGAGGUAGACAAAGGCAUGAAAAUAAAGUAAUUCUACACUGAAGGAAAGAAACAGCAAAUUCUUCUCUUAGACCCUUGGAUAACUUCCUGUUUUGUCUGCAAAAUAAUAUUUUUCCUUAGAGAGGGAAAAGGUGUUAGACAUAGCAAUUUCACAUGGAUAGAAACAUCAUCAUAUAAAUAGCCUGCUGUGAAUGGCAUUUUAGGCAGCUUAAUCAAUAUCCUGCCAGGAGGAAAAAAAAAAAACCCAGAAAAAAUCCCCCAAAAACCAAUUGUAAAUUCAAUGCAUUCCUUAAUUGAAGAUAUAUUGGAAUUUUUCAUAGAUACAUGUUACUUAUAAAAGAGUGAGAAAAUAAACCUUGCAUUACUCUAAUGUCAUAACCAUUCAUAUACUAAUACUAAUUAUCUGUUGAUGAAACAUUUGUAUGAUGUGGGGUUUUUUUGUUUUGUUUUGUUUAACUUGCCACGGAAUAGUGGCUCUAUAUUCUUGAUAACAAUUAUCAUACACAAGCACAUAGCACUUUUCACUCAGAUUUCAAAGAACUCAGCAAAAAUUUCACUGUUUUGUAGAUGGGAGAAGAGCAGAGAGAGGUAAGGAGCUUGUCUAGAGCAUCACAGCAUGUCUAAAGUACUGUAUUCUGCCCAUAGCUUGGUGCCUCCCAACAUCACUACACCAGAGCUGGAUUUUGUGCAUGUUAUAUCCUUAGAUGUGUGACACAGGUCUGCAGGAUGCCCUUGCACAGUGAAAUAACACAGAUUUAGAUUGUUGUUUCUAAGACCACAAGCUUGGUGGAAAAGGGAUUUGAAAGCUAAUCAACGAAAGUUAGGGCUUGAAACACGACUGUAGUUCACUAGCACAUUUAACACAGUUGUCAGUGUUUAAUUAGGAGGCAUUUAAGGCUAAAUAUUCAAGUGUGGCAUUUGGAAUUUAGUGCUACACAAAAAGGUGAGAAAAGCUUCUGCCCUGACAAGAAGUUGUGAAAACUUGCAGUCUUGUGACCAGUGGAAGUUUAAAAGUACAGACAGGCAUGACCUCUUUCAGCAGAUGUGCUAGUUAGCUUAAACUGUCUAAAUAGUAAUGCCACUCACUUUAACUUCAAGUGGCUUUGGGAGUGUUUCUGUAAGCAAGCUCUGCCAACAAAUGUGAGAGAGCAGUAACCUCUGCAAAGAAGUGAUGAUCAACAGCUGGGACUCUAACCUUCCCCUGGCAUGUCUGCAUCCAGCAGGGAACAUCUGUCCAAAGCCUGUCUUUCAAAGUUUACAGAACAAAGGUAUAGUUUGUUUAACAAAAUUGCUCGUAUUAGCUAGGUAAUGGAAUGUGCUUUGAUUCUGCUGAUGCCAGAACCACGCAACUUUUACUUUCCUUAUUUAAUUAGGAUUCAUUUAUUUAGAAAGCUCAAGAGUGGGGUUUUCAGUUUGUUUGUUUGUAUAAAGUAAAGAAAAUAGAGCUUAGGUCAUGUAAGGCUCUCUUAGCUUAGGAAAAACUUUUAUGUUACUCAGAUCUUUUUUUUUUUCCCAUCAAGCUGUGUAAAACAUUUAAUGAUAAAAUUGUCCCAAAGCACGUUACAAUUUUUUUGGUAUCAUUUCAAUAUGCCAAGCAGAUGGGAGUAUACAGUGGUCCCAUUAAGUGUUUGAGGUUUAAACACAUGCUCUUGAAAAAUGAGCAGUGGUAAACAAAGUUGAUUCCUACAUUUAAGAUCUUGGUAGGUACUGGUAUCCAUUAAUUUUUUUUUGCUGACAAAAUGGCAUCAUGAAAUACCUACAGACAGAUUGCUCCUUUGAUUUAAGAAUGACUAAAACAGCAUGCAGAACAUGCAGAGUACCAUAUGAAACUUCAGUGUAUCAUUAUUCUUUAUGUCACUAAUUUGAAUUCAAAUGCUAUUUUGUACUUAUUUUCGUAAAUAAAUAGGAACCAAGUUUGGAAAGUUAGGGCAAGUGACUCAUGAAAAGAAUUUCCUUCUUUUUUUUUUUUUCCCUUUUCUUUCCCUAGGAGUUCCCUAGCCAUAUUUGUGUCUGUGAAAGUACAGCACCUGCUGAAGAAGGAUAAGGUCAAGUUAAGUGUUGAUUCCUACACUUGCUACUUCUGGGCAUUCCUUGGUUAAAUCAUGCAUUUGUUAGCCAUAGAAUAAACCAGCGUUGAACAAUCCUUGAAAUAGCUCGAACCGUGAGUAAGAGCUUUUUAUAAUACAAAAGGAGACAGGCAUAAGAACCCUUGUAGAUAUAUAAUCUAUCUCCAGAACAGAAUUAUGUAAUUUGACAGUAUGUUUUUGUGGAUAAGAGGAACUAAAGUUAUUUUAAACUUCUCUCUCUUUUUCUCCUACCUUUGAGGUUAUAGGUGUAAUGAAUACCCCAAAUAUCAUUUGUUCUUGUCUGCACUUCUUUCAGUAUGAGUCUCCAAAGCAACAAGGAACAUCUCUUGUGGAAAAAAGGGUACUGCAGAUGGUGAAAUAAGAAUGAAAGUAAAAGAAAUAUGAUAAACAGUGUCUACUGAGAAAGCUCCCAUGGAACUGCUGAGUGAGGAUUGCUGACGCUUGGAGUCGUGUAAUUGUGAAACUUAGUGAAGAAGAGCUGUCGGGAGAUCUCUAAUUAGAUAGUGUAGCCAACCCCCAUAGAUAAUGUUUCCUACGUGCGCCACUAAGGGGUGUUACGUCAGAGAAACUGGUGUGUUGUGCACCCCGUGAAAUGGCCAAAAAAAGACACAGACUAGUAAAAAGACAUGGAAAGUUUUUCUGGGGUGGAUCUUUUUGUGUGUGAUCUAUCCAAUUCUACGGUAUUCUGCACAGUUGUGAAGGAAAAGAAAGGUUUUGUAUUAUCUGGAAAGCGGAGCGGUGGGUAGAUACCCGGUAUAUAGGGGGUUCGUUGCAGUUUCUAUUUGCCUUGAUUCUGCCAUUUGGAAGAUGAUUAAAUGAACACCUCGUCCUAACUUGUUUUGCACACAUCAUAGAUAGGAGAGUGAAAAAAUAUCAUUCAUUAUUUGUAACUUAAGGUCUUUAAAAAAAUCUUUUGCACUUGGGGCACCAAGUUGUGGGUUUUUUAAUGGAAGAAUUCUCUGUUUACUUUGCAUGUCGUUCUUUUAGAAAUAUAUUUUUUCAUACAGGAAGGUGUUAGUGGCUGCCAUCAGAUGGUUCUUAUAUCUGUAUAAAGUCUUAGAUCUGGGUAAAGAUGUUAAAUGUGCUAAACAGUUUUCCUUUGGGCUAAACGAUAGGAAUAUUUAAACAUGUUUUUAGCUGCUUGUAGGAAGGCGGUAAUAAGCAAAGCAAAGGCUGAGCAGAAUUAGGCUGUGCAGUUUGAGAGACUGGUUCCAAAUGCAGCAGAAGUUGGGUAAGAAGCUGCAAGCAUGGCUUAGGAGUAAGUGGAGAGUCAAGGCCCUUUGGGGCUUAUGACUCACUGGCCAGGGAGGCUUGGGCAUGCUGAGCAAUGAAAGUGGCUGUUACUGUUUGAUUUUUUACUUGGUGUGAUUAUAUACGUUGCAAACAGCAUUGCACAAAAUACAACCGCAACGAACACCUGUUCAUAUCAUCAGCUUCUUUCUCAGGGAUGUAGCCCAUGGCUGGUGCUGCACAUACAGCUGUGCAGGAUACAUAUCUGUACAUCAGGUUAUGUCAAGAUACCGUAAUGAAAUACUCUGCUUCUGAAAGAAUUUGUGAUACAAUGUCCAGAGAAGCAAUACUAAUAACUUUCUUAUCCUUGGCACAGAAAUGAGAAUUAUAUAGGUCACUCUUGACUCUUUAUAGAAACAUUUGAGCGCUGCUUUAAAGAAAGCCUAUCUGUUACUUAGCAAAAAUACCAGACAGCUUGAAGAUAAGGUGUGUAGUGAACGGAGCAGCAUUUACACUUCUAAACUGUCUACUUCUACUGACCAAGUAGGCAAGAUAUCCCUUCACAUUGGUGCAAUUCUUUCCAGGUAUUUACCUGAGAAGUAUUUCGUGCAGUAACAAAGCCCAGUAACUCAGCUGCAAUCAGGAUCUGUUGAAAAUGCAUGAUCUGGCAAAAUUCUGGAUGGGUGCACUCAAGGGUUGAUAGUUGCUUGUAAGCUUGGACCAGUAAUUAAUCAUGAGGAAGUUAAGAAGGAAAAAAACUGAGCAGAACAGGAGUGCCAAGAUAUUAUCAAAACACACCUAGAGAAAACAGUGCUCUCAUAAUUAUUUUAUUAAUAAUAAUAUUGAUUUUUUUUUAUUUCAGCUGGGGUAAUAGCUGUGCUUUCCAGUGAAGUCAGUGGGAGCUGUGCAUGAUUCGGAGGUGUGAUGGUAGUAUCUUCAAUGAAAAAUACACCGUAUUGUAACAACAGUGAACAUCGCGAAUACAGGAAUGAGAAGUGGUUGCAAGCUGUAACCCGUCUGCAUCAAAGUCAGCAAGGAAAACGCAUGUUGUACCCUGUAUUAUUUGUAAAGUAGAACAUGAUUUUACAAUUAAAGGCUUGUGUCAUACUGGAUACACUAAGGAAA